AUACGGAGGGGGCUAGCGUUGUUCGGAAUUACUGGGCGUAAAGCGCGCGUAGGCGGAUUGAUCAGUCAGGGGUGAAAUCCCGAGGCUUAACCUCGGAACUGCCUUUGAUACUGUCAAUCUUGAGUUCGAGAGAGGUGAGUGGAAUUCCUAGUGUAGAGGUGAAAGUCGUAGAUAUUAGGAAGAACACCAGUGGCGAAGGCGGCUCACUGGCUCGAUACUGACGCUGAGGUGCGAAAGCGUGGGGAGCAAACAGGAUUAGAAACCCUAGUAGUCC
rnacentral:rRNA from 1 species